UACGUAGGGGGCUAGCGUUGUCCGGAAUCAUUGGGCGUAAAGCGCGUGUAGGCGGUCCGGUAAGUCCGCUGUGAAAGUCGGGGGCUCAACCCUCGAAUGCCGGUGGAUACUGUCGGGCUAGAGUGCGGAAGAGGCGAGUGGAAUUCCUGGUGUAGCGGUGAAAUGCGCAGAUAUCAGGAGGAACACCGGUGGCGAAGGCGGGUCUCUGGGCAAUAACUGACGCUGGAGGAGCGAAAGCGUGGGGAGCGAACAGG
rnacentral:rRNA from 1 species